AUGAAGACAACGAGAUAUAACUUCUUCAGAGGGAAUCUGCUGCACUGUAAGUUACGGCCAAGAGUAGAGUUCAACUUAGCAGCUAGAGACAGAAGACUUCUGGAGUGGAAGUUCUUAAAAAAAAAAGAUCAGAUUUAA
rnacentral:lncRNA from 1 species